AACUCUAAUCAUCCUUACCAACUUUCUUUUAAUAAGAAGACAACUAUGGCUUACUACAAAAAGAAAUACACUUCCGAAUUCCUGCAGUGUCUUGAUUUUCCAAGGAUCAAUAAUCCAUCAGAAGAAGAGAAGCAAUUCGUUGUUGAUGUUGUUGGAGUGGUUAGGAGUGUCUCUCCUAUUGGAAGACUACUUGAAGGAGGCAGUGAUUUGGAUUCAAGCUAUGUUACUUUCACAUUAAAGGACCUUGCGUAAGUUUUAUUGGAAAAUCAAUAUAGUCUACGUCUAUAUGAGUUGUAUUAGUUAACAGAUUUUCAAAAGUGUCAUUAUAUUUUUAUUAUGUAUCAUUACAUGUAGUGGCCAUUCCAUUAAUUGUGUUGCAAAAGGAAGUUUCUGUGAAGAAUUUGUUAGGAAGUAUUCUACAAGAAUAAGUGAUGUGAAUUAUCACAAUCAACCAAUCAUGGUUGUUCUGCGUUUUUGGAGGAUAUCAGAGUUUGGAGGUAAACCUUGCUUGAUUACGAAAGGAGGUUGUCCAAGAAUGUUCAUCGAUGAAAAUUUCGCUGACAUUAACAGAGACUGCUACAUGUAUUUCCACAAUCUAUAUGAAAUUUAAAUUGGUUUAUUUAUACACAAGUUUUUAUAUUCUUAUGUUAGUUAUAUUUAUUUUCGCAGCUGCUUUUUCACUGCUGGAAAUAAAGAAACAACAUCCUCAGAUAAUGACAAUGUUUCUGAUGAAGAGGGUGAUUCUAACUAAGAUUUGCAGCUGUGUGGAUGGCAUCAAGAAAAUUCCACCUAUGUUAUGAUCUAUCUUGGACUUCCUUUAAUGCUUUGUUUUGUUAACUUUUUUAAGCAAUGUGCUAUUCCCGUAUCUGUAAAAUUAGACUCUUAGGUUCAGUUGUUUUUUAUUUUGC